rnacentral:rRNA from 1 species
UGAAACUCGCCUACAUGAAGCUGGAGUUACUAGUAAUCGCGGAUCAGCAUGCCGCGGUGAAUACGUUCCCGGGCCUUGUACACACCGCCCGUCACACCAUGAGAGCCGGUAACACCCGAAGUCAGUAGCCUAACCGCAAGGGGGGCGCUGCCGAAGGUGGGAUUGGUAAUUGGGGUGAAGUCGUAACAAGGUACC